rnacentral:rRNA from 1 species
GAUGAACGCUGGCGGCGUGCCUAAUACAUGCAAGUCGAGCGAACGGACGAGAAGCUUGCUUCUCUGAUGUUAGCGGCGGACGGGUGAGUAACACGUGGAUAACCUACCUAUAAGACUGGGAUAACUUCGGGAAACCGGAGCUAAUACCGGAUGAUAUUUUGAACCGCAUGGUUCAAAAGUGAAAGACGGUCUUGCUGUCACUUAUAGAUGGAUCCGCGCUGCAUUAGCUAGUUGGUAAGGUAACGGCUUACCAAGGCAACGAUGCAUAGCCGACCUGAGAGGGUGAUCGGCCACACUGGAACGGAGACACGGUCCAGACUCCUACGGGAGGCAGCAGUAGGGAAUCUUCCGCAAUGGGCGAAAGCCUGACGGAGCAACGCCGCGUGAGUGAUGAAGGUCUUCGGAUCGUAAAACUCUGUUAUUAGGGAGGAACAUAUGUGUAAGUAACUGUGCACAUCUUGACGGUACCUAAUCAGAAAGCCACGGCUAACUACGUG